CCAGCAGAAUUACUCAAGAACUGACUACUCUGAGCUGACUGAAUAUGUGAUACUCACACCUUGUGAGUUUACUUUUCUGCACCAAGGCAGUGAAGGACCCUCCUCUCCAAGUCUUACAGAUACAUGGUUCAACCGGUAUUGGACAGCACUAGCGCAAGAAAUAUAGUAGAGCACUUCCAAGCCAGCAGGAAUGACUGUGAUCAAGGAGUAUGAAGAGACUGGGAGUUUGAAAGAUUCCACCAGGCGAUUAAUGGUGAACAUCAUUGUAGCCCACAUGCAUGAAAAGGAAGGGAGAGCUGUAAGUAAAGCAACAAAAGAGUUUCAUGCCCUUGGGAUUGUGUCACUCUUCCUAUCCUUAAAGGAUCCAUAUUCUAAAAAGGAAUAUGACAAUGCUCAAUCACAUGCAUCAAAGUACUCCACUGAGUGACUAGCCAGUAAAGGCCUAAAAGAUGAAAGAAUAUUGACAUGGCCCACUUCCUCACCUGACUUAAACCCUAUUGAGAACUUGUGGGCCCUUCUUAAACGGGAGAUUUACGGUGAAGGAAAACAAUACACCUCUCUGAACAGUGUCUGGGAGGCUGUGGUUGCUGCUGCACAAAAAGUUGAUCAUCAACAGAUCAGGAAACUGACAAACUCCAUGAAUAUAAGGCUUAUGGCUGUUAUUAAAAAGAAGGGUGACUAUAUUGAUCACUGUUAUUUUUUUUAAUGUCAGAAAUGUUUAUUUGUUAAUUUUAAGUUGUUUGUUUAUUAUUCUCACUUUAACAGAUAAAAAUAAACAAGUGAGAUGAGAAUUUUAGUUUUUUAUUUAGUUGCAUAAUAAUUCUGCACACUAAUAGUUGUCCAAUAAUUAUGCACGCAUAGCUAUUUUCCUAAGAAAGCCAAAACCUCACUUUUACUUUCUUAAAUAUUCAGGUUUGAGGUUUAUUAACAUUUUGAAUUGACUAAAAGCACAGUAGUUGUUCAAUAAUAAAAUUUAUCCUCAAAAAUACAACUUGCCUAAUAAUUGUGCACACAGUGUAAUUCGGUUAAUUCGCAUUAACGUUUUCACCCGAUGUUAGAAUGUGACCAUCGCGAUUGUUUACAUACUUUAUAUUUUUAUUAAAAUAUCAACAUGUCACGAGGCAGAAACUGACCAGACGCUCUCAGAAUAUAAAUCAGGGAACCCAGAGGAUAGACUAAAACAGUAGCCGGAAGACAACAAGGAUUAUACACGGUAACGGUUAGAUUCAGAAAUAAGAAGCGCAAACACAAUCGGCAAAACGAGACACAAACAGAAUCAUUUAAUUAAGAUUCACUGAAUCAAACACCGCUGAACUGAAUCAAAACUCCAGAGCCGAUGAGUGUGUUCAGGAUUGGCUGACCGGGACAUGUGACAUUACAAUUUCAACAAUUUACUGUUUUAGAUCCUAAUAUUUAUAUUGAUAUAAUUAAUGUAAUGGAUAAAAAAUAAUAAUAAAUAUUAGGAACCUUCUUACCCAACAUUUUAGUAUAUGAACUAUCUCUCACAUACCUGGAGACAUUACAAAAAGGCAGUUAAUUUGGACUUUAUAGUAUAAAUUCAUAAUUAAUAAUAAAAUAAGAGAUGUACUUUUUAAAAUACUUUAUAAACGCUAUCCAGUCAAUGCUAGAUUGAGCAAUUUUUUUAAUAUUUCUGGUAGAUGUACCUUCUGUAAUUGCUUUUACCCAUUAAUCUUUUUUUUUGUUUUGUUUUUGAAUGCGUCUAUACAUUUUUCUUUUGGGUCGAUGUGUUCUGGGAUUUGGGAAAAAAAAUUGGUAUCUGAAAAUAUAUUUUAAAAACAAUUAUUUUGUAUAUUGUUAAAUUUAGUGUAAAAACAAAAUUGACAUGU